rnacentral:tRNA from 1 species
GAGAAUAUAGCUCAGUGGUAGAGCAUGUGCUUCCCAUGCACAAUGUCCUGGGUUCAAUCCCUGGUGCCUCCA